UAGUAUUAGUUCAAUUCAGGCAAUUUUUAGCCCCAUGAAUUAGUAUGUGUGUGCUAUUGACGUUUGUUUGUUCAUUUUGAAAUCAAUUUAGAAUUUGAAAGUGAUAUGGAUGCCGAAAUUUUUAUUUCGCUUCUUCGGCAACGACCUGCACUGUGGAACAAAUUCGGUGAUGCAAGUUUCUGCACGAAGGGAAGCAAUGGUCACAGGCGCACGAGAUCAUCAUGAAGCAUAUUGCCGUGGACAGUGCUAUCAACGAUUCGCUACUGAACAAGUUCGAUGAUGUCAAACAAAUCUCCAACUGGUUCUUCAAGGGGCAUAUUUUGAGCGACUUUAUCGAGAUUUUAUGAGGAGACAGUUUGACCUGAUUCGGGACGCGAUCGACGACGAGGUGGUCGAGGCUCGGCUUGAGGAACUCUAGCCCAAAAUGUCCGAUCUGUGAUCGGUGAUCGAGAUGCCCGACACCGAAGCAUCGGUUCUGUAUUAACAAAAUCACCUAAAUCUCAAAUUAAAAAAUCUGAGUCAGGCAUUCUUUGCCCAAGAUCCGCGUAUAAAUAGCUGUGCGUUGAUUUGCUAUGCGCUCGAGAAGCUACCGCUGCCCCAGGAGUAGGUGUUCGACGAAUUGCGGCAUAUGCUGAGCCCGUUUCUGGACGAGGAUCUGCGGAUGCAGCAAUGGGAUAGCAUUUGAAGGAAUCAUUAUGUUAUUUUUAGGAAGGAAUUAUGAUGUUAUUUUAAUCGUACAGAUUUCUACUGUAAUGGUGAAAUGAAAAACACUCUAGAAUGAAUGGAAGGGCAUAUAUUAUCUCGUAGACAAAUUCCAAGAUAAUCACAGGAAAUGAACACAUUACACAUAUAAAUAAAUAGUGCCGCUAGCUUCUUACGGAAUGUUAUUAUUUUUUCGGUCUUAAAAUUGUACACUUGUUUCUGAGACUGUUCAACCAAUAUGUGGCAACAGAACGUGUGAAAAAAUCAAGCUAUUUGUGUAUGUUUAGAAACAAAAUAACUGAGCGUAUGAAUGACCCCAGCAAACAUUAAAUCGUAUAAUUUUGCACGUGCCAAGUCUUACAAGAAAUCCGAAUAAAUCAUAAUCGCAUAUAAUAUCAAUCAAAGUGUGUAUCGUGUAUAUUUGAA